rnacentral:rRNA from 1 species
UACAGAGGGUGCAAGCGUUGCUCGGAAUCAUUGGGCGUAAAGGGCAGGUAGGUGGUCUCGUUUGUCUGGGGUGAAAGCCCAGGGCUUAACCCUGGAAGUGCCCCCGGAAACGGCGAGACUAGAGUACUGGAGAGGGUCGUGGAAUUCCCGGUGUAGCGGUGAAAUGCGUAGAGAUCGGGAGGAACACCAGAGGCGAAGGCGGCGACCUGGACAGUAACUGACACUCAACUGCGAAAGCGUGGGGAGCAAACAGG